rnacentral:rRNA from 1 species
GAUGAACGCUGGCGGCGUGCCUAAUACAUGCAAGUCGAACGAACAGACAAGAAGCUUGUUCUCUUGACGUUAGCGGCGGGCGGGUGAGUAACGCGUGGAUAACCUACCAAUAAGACGGGGAUGACAUCGGAAAGCCGGAUAUAAUACCAGAUAAUACAAUGAACCGCAGGGAUCAAGAGGGAAAGACAUCUUUGCUGUCAGUAAUAGCUGGAUCCGCGCCGGAUUAGCUAGUUGGUAAGGUAACAGCCAACCAAGGCAACGAUGCGUAGCCGAGCUGAGGGGGUGAUCGGCCACACUGGAACUGAGACACGGUCCAGACUCCUACGGGAGGCAGCAGUCGGGAAUCUUCCGCAAUGGGCGAAAGCCUGACGCAGCAACGCCGCGUGAGUGAUGAAGGUCUUCGGAUCGUAAAACCCUGUUAUUAGGGAAGAACAACUGUGUACGUAACUAUGCACGUCUUGACGGUACCUAAAGAAAAAGCCCCGGCUAACUACGUG